GAUCAUGGCUCAGGACGAACGCUGGCGGCGCGCCUAACACAUGCAAGUCGAACGAGAGAGAAGGAGCUUGCUUCUUCGAUCGAGUGGCGAACGGGUGAGUAACGCGUGAGGAACCUGCCUCAAAGAGGGGGACAACAGUUGGAAACGACUGCUAAUACCGCAUAAGCCCACGGGUCGGCAUCGGCCUGAGGGAAAAGGAGCAAUCCGCUUUGAGAUGGCCUCGCGUCCGAUUAGCUGG
rnacentral:rRNA from 1 species